rnacentral:tRNA from 1 species
AAUUGUAUAGUCUAUAAAAGAUAUUAAAUUGCAAAUUUAAUGAAAAAGUUAUUUUACAAUUU